GUGAGGAAUAUUGGUCAAUGGGCGAAAGCCUGAACCAGCAACGCCGCGUGAGGGAUGAAGGCCCUCGGGUUGUAAACCUCUUUUCUGGGAGAAGAGAAAGGACGGUAUCCCAGGAAUAAGUCUCGGCUAACUACGUGCCAGCAGCCGCGGUAAAACGUAGGAGGCUAGCGUUAUCCGGAUUCACUGGGCGUAAAGCGCACGCAGGCGGUCAUGUAAGUCGGACGUGAAAGCUCCCGGCUCAACUGGGAGAGGCCGUUCGAUACUGCAUGACUUGAGGUUGGGAGAGGGGAGCGGAAUUCCCGGUGUAGUGGUGGAAUGCGUAGAUAUCGGGAGGAACACCAGUGGCGAAAGCGGCUCCCUGGCCCACACCUGACGCUCAGGUGCGAAAGCGUGGGUAGCGAACGGGAUUAGAAACCCCGGUAGUCC
rnacentral:rRNA from 1 species